rnacentral:rRNA from 1 species
UACGAAGGGGGCGAGCGUUGUUCGGAUUUACUGGGCGUAAAGGGCGCGCAGGCGGCGCAUUUUGUCAGGCGUGAAAGCCCCGGGCUUAACCUGGGAACUGCGUUUGAUACGGAUGGGCUAGAGUUCGGGAGAGGAGAGUGGAAUUCCCAGUGUAGAGGUGAAAUUCGUAGAUAUUGGGAAGAACACCGAUUGCGAAGGCAGCUUACUAAACAACUAUUGACGCUGAGGCACGAAAGCGUGGGGAUCAAACAGG